rnacentral:piRNA from 1 species
UCAUUGAUAAAGGUCGACCACGCGUUUGC